GAUGAACGCUGGCGGCGUGCCUAAUACAUGCAAGUCGAGCGAACGGACGAGAAGCUUGCUUCUCUGAUGUUAGCGGCGGACGGGGGAGUAACACGUGGAUAACCUACCUAUAAGACUGGGAUAACUUCGGGAAACCGGAGCUAAUACCGGAUAAUAUUUUGAACCGCAUGGUUCAAAAGUGAAAGACGGUCUUGCUGUCACUUAUAGAUGGAUCCGCGCUGCAUUAGCUAGUUGGUAAGGUAACGGCUUACCAAGGCAACGAUGCAUAGCCGACCUGAGAGGGUGAUCGGCCACACUGGAACUGAGACACGGUCCAGACUCCUACGGGAGGCAGCAGUAGGGAAUCUUCCGCAAUGGGCGAAAGCCUGACGGAGCAACGCCGCGUGAGUGAUGAAGGUCUUCGGAUCGUAAAACUCUGUUAUUAGGGAAGAACAUAUGUGUAAGUAACUGUUCACAUCUUGACGGUACCUAAUCAGAAAGCCACGGCUAACUACGUG
rnacentral:rRNA from 1 species